rnacentral:rRNA from 1 species
GACGAACGCUGGCGGCGUGCUUAACACAUGCAAGUCGAACGGAGAAGCCCUGCGUUGGUGGGGUGCUCGAGAGGCGAACGUGUGAGGAACGCGAGAGUAACCUGCCCUUGACUUUGGGAUAAGUUCUGGGAACUAAUGCUAGAAGCUGAUAGGUUCUCCCGCGGCAUGUGGUGGGUUGGGAAGUUGCGGGGGGUGGGGAUGGACGCGCGGCUGCUCAGCUGGUUGGUGGGGUAGUGGCUUACCAAGGCUUUGACGGGUAGCCGGCCUGAGAGGGUGACCGGCCACGUUGGGACUGAGAUACGGCCCAGACUCGUACGGGAGGCAGCAGUGGGGAAUAUUGCACAAUGGGCGGAAGCCUGAUGCAGCAACGCCGCGUGCGGGAUGACGGCCUUCGGGUUGUAAACCGCUUUCGCCUGUGACGAAGCGUGAGUGACGGUAAUGGGUAAAGAAGCACCGGCUAACUACGUG